GUCUCCGUGGUGCAGUGGUUAGCGCGGUCUCCUUUGAAGCGACAGACUCGGGUUCAAUUCCUGACGGAGACC